ACAUACGACCAUAGGGUGUGGAGAACAGGGCUUCCCGUCCGCUCAGCCGUACUUAAGCCACACGCCGGCCGGUUAGUAGUUGGGUGGGUGACCACCAGCGAAUCCCGGCUGUUGUAUGUA
rfam:Aspergillus terreus NIH2624 scaffold_4 genomic scaffold, whole genome shotgun sequence.